rnacentral:sRNA from 1 species
UGAUCAGUAUGGUUGACGUUCAAGGCAGUUUUUGAGAGUGUGUCUGAAAGAAGAAG